rnacentral:lncRNA from 1 species
GCUCUUUGUGGAAUGUACUUGAGCAGCCAUGACAACGUCUGUCAUCUGCCACCAAAGGAGUAGAAUAAAUUCAGAAAGUCCUGCCGGAGCUCUUGGUUCUCCCCUCUCCACUACUCCGCUUUGUGUAAUCCUGCUUGCUACAUUCCCAGGGAAACUCCAGUGGAAUGAAGCCUCAUCCAGGAUUCCUACGACAUACAUAAAAGUAAGACUAUAGACUUGUAACCAAGAAACCGGC